rnacentral:rRNA from 1 species
UCCGUAGGUGAACCUGCGGAAGGAUCAUUAUUGAAUCUAUUCUCUAUGUUUGUGCACUAAGAAGUUGUUUUUUAAUAGAUGACUUCAAUUUAUUUUUACUUUAAAUAAUUUAAUUGCCAAUAUCUUUGUUAAUAAAGUAUAAUACAACUUUUAGCAACGGAUCUCUUGGCUCUCGCAACGAUGAAGAACGCAGCGAAAUGCGAUACGUAAUGCGAAUUGCAACGCCCGUGAGUCAUCUAAUCUUUGAACGCAACUUGCACUGCUCGGUUCUCCGAGUAGUAUAUCUGUUUGAGUAUGGGUUCAACCUCAACAUCAAAUAUGAUGUUGGAAUUGAAUUCUUACUAUGAGUUGAAUCAUAGUGAAUUUUAAAUGGAGAUGACAUGGUCAUGAUGAUAAAAGGUUUAAUUACCUAUACUUCAUGUACCCGAUUUUCAAUAUUUCCAUCUCAAAUCAGAUAAGAUUACCCGCUGAACUUAAGCAUAUUAAUAAGCGGAGGAAAAGAAACUAACAAGGAUUCCCCUAGUAACGGCGAGCGAAGAGGGAAUAGCUCAAAUUUAAAAUCUCUUCGGAGAGUUGUAGUUUAUAGAAGUGUUUUCGAUAGUCAUGUACGUUUCAAGUCCUUUGGAACAAGGCAUCAUAGAGGGUGAGAAUCCCGUUUAUGAUCGUAUUUUUGACUACAAUGUGAUACACUUUCAAAGAGUCGGGUUGUUUGGUAUUGCAGCCCUAAUUGGGUGGUAUAUUUCAUCUAAAGCUAAAUAUAGGCGAGAGACCGAUAGCGAACAAGUACCGUGAGGGAAAGAUGAAAAGAACUUUGAAAAGAGAGUUAAUAGUACGUGAAAUUGCUAAAAGGGAAACGCUUGAAGU